UCCUGUCUCGCGAAAAGUGGCCGACUGUGGCCGCCUGCCCCCAUCUACUCGUGAUGGAUCGGGCUAGCGAGGCGGGUUAUU
rnacentral:ncRNA from 1 species